AGCGAACGCUGGCGGCAGGCCUAACACAUGCAAGUCGAACGAACCUUUCGGCGUUAGUGACGGACGGGUUAGUAACCCGUUGGAACGUGCCUUUAGGUUCUGAAUAACUCACUGGAACUUGUGCUAAUACCUAAUGUUCCCUUCGGGUGAAAGCUUUAUCGCCUUUAGAUUGGCGCGCGUCUGAUUAGCUAGUUGUUUGCGUUACUGGCUCACCAAGGCGACGAUCAGUAGCUGGUCUGAGAGGAUGAUCAUCCAGAUUGGGACUGAGACACGGCCCAAACUCAGACGGGAGGCAGCAGUGGGGAAUCGAGCGAAAUGGGCGAAAGGAUGAAGCAGCUAUGCGGCGUGAAUGAUGAAGGUCUUAGGAUAGAAAAAUUCUUUCAGGGGAGAAGAUAAUGACGGUACCCGGAGAAGAAGCCACGGCUAACUACGUG
rnacentral:rRNA from 1 species